GUCCUUACAUGCUGGGGGAAUAUCAUAAAUAUGAAGGUGGUUUCUGUAGAACAAGGAUCUCCAAUUGCACUUCAUUUGUAUUGACCUCUGUGAUUUAUUCAAGUAUGGUAAACCCAACUGCAAAAUUUAUGGCAGUGAGUGACUGUGCGCUGUUCCCUG